GGGCCGAGUUGUCCCAGCAACAGUGUGUGAGAACAGCGGGCUGUCGUCGGAGUGGGGCCCUGCCGUGCAGACCUGGUUAGCAGCCCGCACCGUUGCCCUCGGCCUGUAGUCCUUGGCAGUCAGCCUAGCACCGUGUGAGCAGAGGCCCUCCGUAAAUCCCAUUCUCACGGGGCCGUGGUCCAGGGUUGAAGACGGCCUUUACCAGGACAGUGGGAGGAUUCACAGAUCACCUGCCGGAGCCAAGGGUAGCGGCCAGACGUUUUGGGCAAGGUUGAAAUUACAGUGUGCUUGGCGUGUCAUCCAAGGACUGUUUCACAAGCGUUCCUAGGAGUCUUGAUUUCCUGAAACAGAACGCUCUUGGGUAAAAGGAGUUGGCUUCUGUGCUCCUUGCCCGGCUUGAAGGGAGAAGUUCCUUGAAAGAAAUUGAACCAAAUCUGUUUGCUGAUGAAGAUUCACCUGUGCAUGCCUCCUCCCUGGCCUCCAUCCAGUCCGGCCUCCAUCCAGUCCAGCCCCGUGGAGGAAUGUCAGGAUGUCCCCCGCCAAGCCAUCCUCCAGACAAGAAGUGGUUUCGCGUCCAGCAGCCUUGAAGACAGACAGGUACAUAACUGCAGGACUUUUGUUCACUUCUGUGGCGCGUGUCUUCAGAGAAAGCUCUCCAGCAGUUUCAGGAUUGCUCUGUAGUUUUCGUAACAGACCCUGGAAAUCGUCAGAAGUCUAUGCACAGUACUGGUCUGGGAAAACAUGGGUGAGAACUUCUCAACAGAAAUGAGUUUAACGAUUACCUCCAUACACACGCAGCAGCUUCAGGGAGUUGGUGAGGGCAGACUUGGCUGAAUAACAGAUCGCAUCUAAGGAGUGAGCCUAGUUUUAAGCCAAAGGCGGACGCCUAAGUGCUGGCAGAGCCACUGAGAUUCUGUUUGAGGCCAGUGACCAGUUAAGAGCACAGCAUCAGCACGUCUUUACUCUGUAAUAGUUUUACUUUAAUACCUGUUAGAGGUGUUGUACUUUUAAUGCCAGAGGGCCAAGAAUUUCUCUUUGGGCAAAGUUUAAAAUAAUAGUGUGGUUCUCCUCUAGCCUAGUUUUCAUAAAUCCUAAAACAGAAUUGUUAUUUCUGAAGAAACAUUUUCAGGCCAGGCAUGGUGGCCCACGCCCGUAAUCCUACACUUAGUUCAGGGCCAGCCUAAACUGCAGUGAAGCCCUGUC